rnacentral:rRNA from 2 species
GUCGAGCGAAUCUUGAGGNGCUUGCACCUCUUGGUUAGCGGCGGACGGGUGAGUAACACGUGGGCAACCUGCCUGUAAGACUGGGAUAACUUCGGGAAACCGGAGCUAAUACCGGAUAAUCCUUUUCCUCUCAUGAGGAAAAGCUGAAAGUCGGUUUACGCUGACACUUACAGAUGGGCCCGCGGCGCAUUAGCUAGUUGGUGAGGUAACGGCUCACCAAGGCGACGAUGCGUAGCCGACCUGAGAGGGUGAUCGGCCACACUGGGACUGAGACACGGCCCAGACUCCUACGGGAGGCAGCAGUAGGGAAUCUUCCGCAAUGGACGAAAGUCUGACGGAGCAACGCCGCGUGAGCGAUGAAGGCCUUCGGGUCGUAAAGCUCUGUUGUUAGGGAAGAACAAGUACCGGAGUAACUGCCGGUACCUUGACGGUACCUAACCAGAAAGCCACGGCUAACUACGUGCCAGCAGCCGCGGUAAUACGUAGGUGGCAAGCGUUGUCCGGAAUUAUUGGGCGUAAAGCGCGCGCAGGCGGUCCUUUAAGUCUGAUGUGAAAGCCCACGGCUCAACCGUGGAGGGUCAUUGGAAACUGGGGGACUUGAGUACAGAAGAGGAAAGCGGAAUUCCACGUGUAGCGGUGAAAUGCGUAGAGAUGUGGAGGAACACCAGUGGCGAAGGCGGCUUUCUGGUCUGUAACUGACGCUGAGGCGCGAAAGCGU